GACGAACGCUGGCGGCGUGCUUAACACAUGCAAGUCGAGCGGUAAGGCCCUUUCGGGGGUACACGAGCGGCGAACGGGUGAGUAACACGUGGGUGACCUGCCCUCAGCUCUGGGAUAAGCCUGGGAAACCGGGUCUAAUACUGGAUAUGACUCCAUGACGCAUGUUGUGGGGUGGAAAGCCUUGUGCGGCUGAGGAUGGGCCCGCGGCCUAUCAGCUUGUUGGUGGGGUGAUGGCCUACCAAGGCGGCGACGGGUAGCCGGCCUGAGAGGGCGACCGGCCACACUGGGACUGAGACACGGCCCAGACCCCUACGGGAGGCAGCAGUGGGGAAUCUUGCGCAAUGGGCGAAAGCCUGACGCAGCGACGCCGCGUGAGGGAUGACGGCCU
rnacentral:rRNA from 1 species